UAUACUUUAGUAUAGAAUGUACUUGAAUUUUUGAUAUUCAGAGCAAUAGAUUGAUCUAUUAGGUAUAA
rnacentral:tRNA from 1 species